rnacentral:rRNA from 1 species
UACGUAGGGUCCGAGCGUUGUCCGGAAUUACUGGGCGUAAAGAGCUCGUAGGUGGUUUGUCGCGUUAUUCGUGAAAACUCACAGCUUAACUGUGGGCGUGCGGGCGAUACGGGCAGACUAGAGUUCGGCAGGGGAGACUGGAAUUCCUGGUGUAGCGGUGAAAUGCGCAGAUAUCGUAAGGAAGACCAGUGGCGAAGGCGAGUCUCUGGACAGCAACUGACGCUGAGGCACGAAGGCCAGGGGAGCAAACGGG